GGUUAAGCGACUAAGCGUACACGGUGGAUGCCCUGGCAGUCAGAGGCGAUGAAGGGCGUGCUAAUCUGCGAUAAGCGCCGGUAAGGUGAUAUGAACCGUUAUAACCGGCGAUACCCGAAUGGGGAAACCCAGUGUGAUUCGUCACACUAUCAUUAACUGAAUCCAUAGGUUAAUGAGGCGAACCGGGGGAACUGAAACAUCUAAGUACCCCGAGGAAAAGAAAUCAACCGAGAUUCCCCCAGUAGCGGCGAGCGAACGGGGAGGAGCCCAGAGCCUGAAUCAGCAUGUGUGUUAGUGGAAGCGUCUGGAAAGGUGCGCGAUACAGGGUGACAGCCCCGUACACAAAAGCGCAUGUGCUGUGAGCUCGAUGAGUAGGGCGGGACACGUGGUAUCCUGUCUGAAUAUGGGGGGACCAUCCUCCAAGGCUAAAUACUCCUGACUGACCGAUAGUGAACCAGUACCGUGAGGGAAAGGCGAAAAGAACCCCGGCGAGGGGAGUGAAAAAGAACCUGAAACCGUGUACGUACAAGCAGUGGGAGCACAGGUUUACCUGUGUGACUGCGUACCUUUUGUAUAAUGGGUCAGCGACUUAUAUUCUGUAGCAAGGUUAACCGUAUAGGGGAGCCGUAGGGAAACCGAGUCUUAACCGGGCGUUAAGUUGCAGGGUAUAGACCCGAAACCCGGUGAUCUAGCCAUGGGCAGGUUGAAGGUUGGGUAACACUAACUGGAGGACCGAACCGACUAAUGUUGAAAAAUUAGCGGAUGACCUGUGGCUGGGGGUGAAAGGCCAAUCAAACCGGGAGAUAGCUGGUUCUCCCCGAAAGCUAUUUAGGUAGCGCCUCGUGAAUUCAUCUCCGGGGGUAGAGCACUGUUUCGGCUAGGGGGCCAUCCCGGCUUACCAACCCGAUGCAAACUGCGAAUACCGGAGAAUGUUAUCACGGGAGACACACGGCGGGUGCUAACGUCCGUCGUGAAGAGGGAAACAACCCAGACCGCCAGCUAAGGUCCCAAAGUCAUGGUUAAGUGGGAAACGAUGUGGGAAGGCCCAGACAGCCAGGAUGUUGGCUUAGAAGCAGCCAUCAUUUAAAGAAAGCGUAAUAGCUCACUGGUCGAGUCGGCCUGCGCGGAAGAUGUAACGGGGCUAAACCAUGCACCGAAGCUGCGGCAGCGAACGUAUCACCCAAGACAACUUUACGGAGUUGACGAUUGACGGAGCGAAGCGACGUCAAAGCGUUCAUUAAAGUCGAGUUGGCUUAGGGAUACGUUCGUUGGGUAGGGGAGCGUUCUGUAAGCCUGUGAAGGUGUGUCGUGAGGCAUGCUGGAGGUAUCAGAAGUGCGAAUGCUGACAUAAGUAACGAUAAAGCGGGUGAAAAGCCCGCUCGCCGGAAGACCAAGGGUUCCUGUCCAACGUUAAUCGGGGCAGGGUGAGUCGACCCCUAAGGCGAGGCCGAAAGGCGUAGUCGAUGGGAAACGGGUUAAUAUUCCCGUACUUGGUGUUACUGCGAAGGGGGGACGGAGAAGGCUAUGUUGGCCGGGCGACGGUUGUCCCGGUUUAAGCGUGUAGGUGUGUGUUCCAGGUAAAUCCGGUUCACUUUAACACUGAGGCGUGACGACGAGGCACUACGGUGCUGAAGCAACAAAUGCCCUGCUUCCAGGAAAAGCCUCUAAGCAUCAGGUAACACGAAAUCGUACCCCAAACCGACACAGGUGGUCAGGUAGAGAAUACCAAGGCGCUUGAGAGAACUCGGGUGAAGGAACUAGGCAAAAUGGUGCCGUAACUUCGGGAGAAGGCACGCUGACACGUAGGUGAAGUGAUUUACUCAUGGAGCUGAAGUCAGUCGAAGAUACCAGCUGGCUGCAACUGUUUAUUAAAAACACAGCACUGUGCAAACACGAAAGUGGACGUAUACGGUGUGACGCCUGCCCGGUGCCGGAAGGUUAAUUGAUGGGGUCAGCGCAAGCGAAGCUCCUGAUCGAAGCCCCGGUAAACGGCGGCCGUAACUAUAACGGUCCUAAGGUAGCGAAAUUCCUUGUCGGGUAAGUUCCGACCUGCACGAAUGGCGUAAUGAUGGCCAGGCUGUCUCCACCCGAGACUCAGUGAAAUUGAACUCGCUGUGAAGAUGCAGUGUACCCGCGGCAAGACGGAAAGACCCCGUGAACCUUUACUAUAGCUUGACACUGAACAUUGAGCCUUGAUGUGUAGGAUAGGUGGGAGGCUUUGAAGUGUGGACGCCAGUCUGCAUGGAGCCGACCUUGAAAUACCACCCUUUAAUGUUUGAUGUUCUAACGUGGACCCGUAAUCCGGGUUGCGGACAGUGUCUGGUGGGUAGUUUGACUGGGGCGGUCUCCUCCUAAAGAGUAACGGAGGAGCACGAAGGUUGGCUAAUCCUGGUCGGACAUCAGGAGGUUAGUGCAAUGGCAUAAGCCAGCUUGACUGCGAGCGUGACGGCGCGAGCAGGUGCGAAAGCAGGUCAUAGUGAUCCGGUGGUUCUGAAUGGAAGGGCCAUCGCUCAACGGAUAAAAGGUACUCCGGGGAUAACAGGCUGAUACCGCCCAAGAGUUCAUAUCGACGGCGGUGUUUGGCACCUCGAUGUCGGCUCAUCACAUCCUGGGGCUGAAGUAGGUCCCAAGGGUAUGGCUGUUCGCCAUUUAAAGUGGUACGCGAGCUGGGUUUAGAACGUCGUGAGACAGUUCGGUCCCUAUCUGCCGUGGGCGCUGGAGAACUGAGGGGGGCUGCUCCUAGUACGAGAGGACCGGAGUGGACGCAUCACUGGUGUUCGGGUUGUCAUGCCAAUGGCACUGCCCGGUAGCUAAAUGCGGAAGAGAUAAGUGCUGAAAGCAUCUAAGCACGAAACUUGCCCCGAGAUGAGUUCUCCCUGAGACUUAGAGUCUCCUGAAGGAACGUUGAAGACGACGACGUUGAUAGGCCGGGUGUGUAAGCGCAGCGAUGCGUUGAGCUAACCGGUACUAAUGAACCGUGAGGCUUAACCUU
rnacentral:rRNA from 5 species